AUUGCAGGCUGCAACUCGCCUGCAUGAAGCGGAAUUGCUAGUAAUCGCAGAUCAGCAUGCUGCGGUGAAUACGUUCCCGGGCCUUGUACACACCGCCCGUCACACCAUGGGAGUCGGUAACACCCGAAGUCGGUAGCCUAACCGUAAGGAGGGCGCCGCCGAAGGCGGGAUUGAUGACUGGGGUGAAGUCGUAACAAGGUACC
rnacentral:rRNA from 1 species